UCUCCGUUGGUGAACCAGCGGAGGGAUCAUUACCGAGUUUACAACUCCCAAACCCCAAUGUGAACGUUACCAAACUGUUGCCUCGGCGGGAUUUCUGCCCCGGGCGCGUCGCAGCCCCGGACCAAGGCGCCCGCCGGAGGACCAACCCAAAACUCUUUUGUAUACCCCCUCGCGGGUUUUUAUAUCUGAGCCUUCUCGGCGCCCCUAGUGGGCGUUUCGAAAAUGAAUCAAAACUUUCAGCAACGGAUCUCUUGGUUCUG
rnacentral:misc_RNA from 1 species